AACCUCCUAGAGAAAGAGAGAGAAGAGAGUAGAGAGAAAAAAACCAAGAUUUGACCAAAAUCGGAGCCCCGAAUUCCGAAGCUCGUGAAGAGAAAAGUGUUGUACGUUGCAUUGCCUUCAUUUUGAGCCAAAAAUCAGCUAAGAAGGAGAGUGGUGACUUGGUUGCUGCAUACUUAAGGUAUAUAUGCUCUUGUACAAGCUAAGAGGAAUUAUUUGACGAAGUGGACUUUGAUUGGUCUAUGGCGUAGAUGAUUUGAACUCCUCGAGUUGUGGUAGAACUUGUUGUGUGGUAAAACGCCAAGGUAAUGCGCGAGAUGAGGUAUGAAGAUGACCAAUUGGAGUAGACUUUUUGGAAGCCCUUGUGAAGAUCACAUCUGCAUAUGCAUCUAGUUUUUGUAAAUUUUUGGGGGCUUGUACAUGAUACAUGUGUGGCACUUACGUAUGAAAUUUUGAAGGCUUGUGGAAAACAAGACCAUUUGCUUGUAACUUAAACUUGAUGACUGGUUUUGCUAUUUUAGGGUGUGUUUUUAACCCAAGUUAUGUCAUAUACUGAAUUUGUAUUUUGUCUUGUAAUUAUGCACAAAGGAUGAUAAUAGUUUUGUGAAAAUCACUAGUUUGAGUUUUGUGCAUAUUAUGGACCCGUAAUGGUGUUGAUUUGGAAAUAAAAUUUUAAAACGAAGCUUCUUAAAUGUGUUGACUAUUUGAGAAGGGAAUUACCAUUUUAAAAUGAUACUCUGCUAUUGUAUUUCAUCUAAGAAAUUUUUCGGGGAGCGCAAUGAAAAAUAAUAAAAAAAUAAUAAUAAAAAAAAAUGUCGUACUUUCAAAUAUUUUCG